CACUGCUUUUGGAUAACUUUAUGCUGCUUUACUCCUGGUAUAAAAAUUCAAGCAGUUCAGUUUGUUGGUUUGAUGGUUUGUGAUCAUCCAUCUUCCUCUUGAUUAUAUUCCAGAGGUUUUGGUAAAAUCAAAGAAACUCAUCAUUUUUAAGUGGCAUUUAAUUUUUUCCAGAGCUGUAGGUAAGAUAAGGGGA